rnacentral:misc_RNA from 1 species
GAUGAAGAACGUAGCGAAAUGCGAUAAGUAAUGUGAAUUGCAGAAUUCAGUGAAUCAUCGAAUCUUUGAACGCACAUUGCGCCCGCCAGUAUUCUGGCGGGCAUGCCUGUUCGAGCGUCAUUUCAAUCAUCAAGCCCACGGCUUGUGUUGGGGACCUGCGGCUGCCGCAGGCCCUGAAAAGCAGUGGCGGGCUCGCUGUCACACCGAGCGUAGUAGCAUACAUCUCGCUCUGGGCGUGCUGCGGGUUCCGGCCGUUAAACCACCUUCAUAACCCAAGGUUGACCUCGGAUCAGGUAGGAAGACCCGCUGAACUUAAGCAUAUCAAUAAGCGGAGGA